GGACCCAUGGCGUAGUGGUCACUGCGCUCGCCUUGCACGCGGGAGACCCGGGUUCGAUUCCCGGCGGUGCUA
rnacentral:tRNA from 1 species